UAUCCGACACGCGCGGUACAGUCGAGUCAACUCGUGUAUGCGACUCGCGAAUAUAAUCUGUACGGGAUAAAAUGAACCACGUUUUCCCGCGGUUAACGUACGCGCGCGUGAAUUAUAUUUAUAAUCUGUAGUCUCAUUUCAAAUAGAUUUUUUAUUUAAUUUAAAAAAAAAAUAUUUUUCCAUUUGUGAUCAUUAGUGGGUAGAUUUAUUGUGAAUAACAUACGAUUAACUUAAACAUAUAAUGCGUUGCAUUUUGCGGUUAAUACCAUAACUUACUACAGUGCAAGAUUUUCUAUGAAAAUUGAUUCGUGAAAGGGCAUAAGGAACUGCAAUGAUGACAUAAGUCGUUGCUAGCGAUGCGGGCGGGGGGC